GGAUUAGAUACCCUGGUAGUCCUAGCUGUAAACGAUGGAUACUAGACGUAGGAACUGGAUUGACGGUUUCUGUGUCGUAGCUAACGCAUUAAGCUCUCCGCCUGGGGAGUACGGUCGCAAGAUUAAAACUCAAAGGAAUUGACGGGGGCCCGCACAAGCGGCGGAGCAUGCGGCUUAAUUCGAUGAUACCCGUAGAACCUUACCUGGACUUGACAUAUAGGGUCUAGCUAUAGAGAUAUAGUGUGCAUUAGCGCCCUAUACAGGUGGUGCAUGGCUGUCGUCAGCUCGUGCCG
rnacentral:rRNA from 1 species